GGCCCCGUAGCUCAGUAGGUAGAGCCUCGGAUCUCAGAUCCGAGAGACGCAGGUUCGAUUCCUGCCGGUGCCA
rnacentral:tRNA from 1 species